UGAGGAUAGUAUGAGGUAUUAGUGACGGUGAAGCUAGUUAUUGAAUGAGUUUUGGCGCUGUGGACGCAGUUGAACAUGUGUUGGAGUUUGUGACUGAUUCUUUUUAUCAAUUUGGAAAGUUUGAUGAGGUGGUGAUUGCUGCAAUAUCUGUGAAUUCAUUAAAGCAGUAGUCCUGUUUAGGAAGUUUUGUGGUUGCUGAAAUCGAAGUAAGGAAGAAGGAUGCUGUUUAGAAGGAUCCUGAAGUGCUGCUGCAGCCAUAGCUUGAUACAUGUCUGUUUGCAUAUUUAGGAUGGAUGGAUCUUUAAUAAUGGUGCAAACCUGUAGCCAUAGAUUGAGUGAGGUUCCACAAAGACACAGGAAUUAAUCCAUCAAAUUAGCAUUCCUGUAGCCGUAGUUGGUUAAGAGACUUUAACUAGCCUAUGGAAUCAGGUAUUUCUCCUGAGAAUGCUAUGUAAGAGAGAUCCAACAUCCUUAGAGGACUGCUCCAAUUAGACUUUGAAAGUUCAUCUUUCAGCUCCAUUAUGUGACAAACUCGGUUCUUCAAGAUUAAGAAAACCAAGUAUGCCAAUUGCAACAAAAGAUGAGUGGCAGGAGCUGAU